GUUUUGGUAUGCAGAUACACAGACGCAGGUCCUGAUAAGACUCCCCUGUGCAUCCCUCUGUGACAAGUAGAAGAUGUCCAGCAGAAUAAUGCAGAAUCUCAGCCUCCCCUCUAAAAGUGAAGGCGUGGAAAUGAAAGCUGGGCACUUUGGAGAGGAUGGCUGGAAGAAAUGAAGACGUGUCUGAUUUCCACAGCAACCAAUGGUGAUGCAGCGCUCCGCACUCUCUGCC